rnacentral:rRNA from 1 species
AACCUUUAGCUAAACUAAAUAUUAAAGGCAACGCCUGCCCGGUGAACAAUUAAACGGCCGCGGUACCCUAACCGUGCAAAGGUAGCGUAAUCAUUUGUCUAUUAAUUGUAGACCUGUAUGAAAGGCAAAAUGAGGGCCUAACUGUCUCUUAUAACUAAUCAAUUAAACUGAUCUCCCAGUACAAAAGCUGGAAUAAAAACAUUAGACCAGAAGACCCUGUGAAGCUUAAAUAAAACUAUCAAACCAUAUGAUAGCUAAUUUCGGUUGGGGCGACCUUGGAAAAAAAAAGAACUUCCAAACAAAAAGCUUUAUAUAGCAACAAACCAAAGGCUAACAGGCCAAACAACGACCCAGCACCGCUGAUUAAUGAAACAAGUUACUCCAGGGAUAACAGCGCUAUCUUCUUCAAGAGUCCAUAUCAAAAAGAAGGUUUACGACCUCGAUGUUGGAUCAGGACAUCCUAAUGGUGCAGCCGCUAUUAAGGGUUCGUUUGUUCAACGAUUAACAGUCCU